rnacentral:lncRNA from 1 species
UUGAGAGAGAUUUUGAUUAAACAAGAGGAGAGCAAUGAAGGGAGAAUAGAGGAGGUGUAUGUGAGAGAGUAUUUUGAGUUAUUCAUUUUGAAAAAGGUUAAUUCAAAAUUCAAAAGCCGAAUUUAGACUAUAAAUGAAUUGAGUCGUUUCCGUUUCAGAGUGAAAUAGCAAUCAAAAUUUGAUUUCUGUAGAAUAAACAACCACCGUCGAAUCAAUGAAUUUUAUUCCGACUCUAUGGGCAAAGAGCAACUGUAGUGUGAGAGAAAGGUUUUGGUCAAGUGGAAGAAGAGCGAUAAUA